rnacentral:rRNA from 1 species
CGACGUAGGUAACCUGCCUGGUAGUGGGGGGUAACUAUUGGAAACGAUAGCUAAUACCGCAUAAUAACAGUUGUUGCAUGACAACUGUUUGAAAGGUGCAAUUGCAUCACUACCAGAUGGACCUGCGUUGUAUUAGCUAGUUGGUGGGGUAACGGCUCACCAAGGCGACGAUACAUAGCCGACCUGAGAGGGUGAUCGGCCACACUGGGACUGAGACACGGCCCAG